CAUUCUCAUUGGUUGAAAGCAGACAAACUGCAUUAUCCCCACUCUUACUCAAGGUUAUAAGUAAGGCAAUUCUCAGUUACUUCGACAGAGUCCUCCGAAGCUUUGAACGAACAUUGUCAAAAUGUUCUAUAAGUUAAGUUAGCUUAAGUUAGUGCAAUGUGGUGAGUGUGUGAAAAGCUUCAUACUAUUAGUCACCAUCUUAAGUUACCUAAUUGGUCAACAAAUUCAAAGGGACUGUAAUGGGGAUAUUUAAAAUGGAAAUCCUUCUAAACCUUUCAUUUUAUAACUCAGUUAUAACGAAGAGUGGAUUACUAUCAAAUAGUAAGGAAACAACACAAAAUGAAUCUAAGAUCAAAUAGAAUAUCAUUCAGAAGAAAUAACUUCUCGGUUUCGGUUCUUUUGUUAUGAAAGUGAAUAAUUUACCGAAUUAAAAAAGCUGAUUCGAAAACAUCCAAUAAAGACGUGAAUGGGCAACUCGAAAUCGACCACUGAUGAAGAAGAUAUUUCCAGUUUCUAACAGAAAAAUUGAUUUAUUUUUCUAAAGCGUUGAUUACUGUACACCUUAAUUUAAUAUGACAACAGUGGUGGAGAUAUUAACGAAAGGAGAUGUUCUUCACACCACACCACACCACAUCACAUUACACCGCACCACAUCACAUCACAUCAUAUUCACAUAAAAUUCACAUCAUAUUAAACACAUGAACUUCAUAAUUGUCUUAUAAAGGUUAAUACCUGCUGUACCGAAAACAUUGGUGCUGAUAAGUUUGACAAUUUCGUCGUCAUUGUGUUUUCUUUAAAUAGAGAAUAUAUACAUCUACAAUUCUACAUUGUAGUCUCACAGUAUGUAAUAUUGUUGUGGUUUCCAACAGUUGUUCAGAGUUUUGUUACAGUUUUUGGAUCAAAGAUAAAUUUGUUGAUAACUGAAAUUGCCUUCUCUUAUAUUAACGAGUGAUUAUCUAAUGGAGAAAUGUAUUUUCCAAAUUUUUCUGUGUUAGACUCAUUUACAUCAACAAUCAUUUUCUCCCAUCCAGUUGUUUUGGAAUGGAUAAUAGAAAUGAGUUUGUGCUUUAGUAGUUUCAUGACAGUCUUGUUACAAGACCGAUUGUUUUGAAAAAUUUUGGAGUGAUGUGACUUUCCCACGUUUCCCAACGAUGAUUAUUGUUGUGUAUUACAUUAACAGAUAAUGUUUAGCCAAUUACGUAUCAUUGUUUAAGUCUCUGGAUUGUGUAACACUUGAAUCAAGACUUACUGCUAACAUACGCUGAUAAUUUAAUUUUAAAAGAUCAAUUUGUUUCUGGGACACGUGGUGAACUACUUAAUUCACUGUUAUCAUUAUUAGAUCCCAUGGUCUAAAAAACCUUAAUGCAAUUCAUAAUACAAUACAAUACACUGCACUGCCGUCACCCAAAAUAGUGUCCUGUCGUGUUUCCAAAUCGUAAAAUAUGAAUAAUAAAUCACUAAGGCUUUGGCUACAGCGGCCUUAGCCACCGCCUCUGCUGCCGCAUCUGCCUCCGCCUCU